GACGAACGCUGGCGGCGUUCUUAACACAUGCAAGUCGAACGGAAAGGCCCUGCUUUUGUGGGGUGCUCGAGUGGCGAACGGGUGAGUAACACGUGAGUAACCUGCCCUUGACUUUGGGAUAACUUCAGGAAACUGGGGCUAAUACCGGAUAGGAGCUCCUGCUGCAUGGUGGGGGUUGGAAAGUUUCGGCGGUUGGGGAUGGACUCGCGGCUUAUCAGCUUGUUGGUGGGGUAGUGGCUUACCAAGGCUUUGACGGGUAGCCGGCCUGAGAGGGUGACCGGCCACAUUGGGACUGAGAUACGGCCCAGACUCCUACGGGAGGCAGCAGUGGGGAAUAUUGCACAAUGGGCGGAAGCCUGAUGCAGCAACGCCGCGUGCGGGAUGACGGCCUUCGGUUUGUAAACCGCUUUCGCCUGUGACGAAGCGUGAGUGACGGUAAUGGGUAAAGAAGCACCGGCUAACUACGUG
rnacentral:rRNA from 1 species